UUUACUUGAGGCAAUUGGUCAAGUUCAGUCUCGCACAAACCUCCCUUCUUCAGACUCUUUGCUUCCUCUCUGCGAAACGCAGAAAGAGAGAGCCUAUACAAACGAAUAUUCUUUCUCUGCUUAACAUCUUUCCUCGACCAUUUUACAGCAAUAAAAAAGCUGUACCAAGAUUCGGAGAUUCCCAAUGGCCAAAACUCCUUUGAUUCUUCCCCUAAAUAAACAUCAAAUUUAAUGACUUAAGAAAUAUUAUGUGGUUGAGUUGAGCCUCCCUAGCGUCCACAAAGGAGACAAAAUAGACAAUAAUCUCAUCAUUUUAAGGUGAUUCUGCAGAGGAAGAGUUUGUUUACACAUGGGCAAGCAACAUCGCCAUAGCCGCAAGAGAAAGAACAAUCUUAAUGGAAGAAAGACCAGCCGCGACGAUAAAAUCAGUUCCCGUUGUUGUUGUCCUUGUUCUGUGGUGUCGUCAAUGGUGAGAGGGAUCGCAAGAUGCAUGUUUGUGACAUGUUAUCCUGUGAUUCAAUGCUUUGGAUUGGAUGACCAUAGGCAUCGUCACCGUCACCAUCAUCACAAGCACUUCUUUUGACUUUUUUUUUUCAGAUCUUUGUUAUUGUUUUUAAUUCUUGCUUUGACUUUUUGGGUUCUUGAUGUGUAUUGUGUAUACGAUAGAAGUUUGGAGCUUUGCUUCAAUUGGAAUUUUGAUUUGCUUUUGGAAUUGUACUCAAAAGGGCAAAAAGAACAAGUUUGUCAGGAGAGAUUAUAAUGUAGAGGAUCACGUUUGCUCUACA